AACCAGCUUUUCACAAUGGACAUCUGAGAAGGGCCUCGACGACUGACAGAACAAGAAGUCCCGUCUUUUCAACUGCCAGGAUUUGUGCCCAGAUUUGCCUGGAAUUGAAGAUUUGGGAUUAUCAGGGUCAACAUCUACAUGUGAUACGGAUUUGCCGGUAGAAAGGCAUGAAUUGAGGUUAUUCAGAUCC